AUAUAGAUAUUUCACUGUAUAUAAGAGCUGGUGUUUCUCUUGUUCAUCACCUCCACACAGGAACACUGAAGCUGACACUGAGAAGAAAGAAGAUAAUCCUGCAGAAGAUCAUUUUUACCAUUUGCAUCAUCUCAACCAUGAAGGUGCUGAUUGUGUCUCUACUGGUCUGUGCCCUGAUGGCUCUGACCACAGCUGCUGCUGUUCCAGAAGCAGAGCCGGGUCAGAAGAUAGAACCACUCGUUCAGGAAG